rnacentral:rRNA from 1 species
UCGGGAAUUUUGGGCAAUGGGCGAAAGCCUGACCCAGCAACGCCGCGUGAAGGAUGAAGUAUUUCGGUAUGUAAACUUCGAAAGAAUGGGAAGAAUAAAUGACGGUACCAUUUAUAAGCUCCGGCUAACUACGUGCCAGCAGCCGCGGUAAUACGUAGGGAGCAAGCGUUGUUCGGAUUUACUGGGCGUAAAGGGCGCGUAGGCGGCGCGGUAAGUCACUUGUGAAAUCUCUGAGCUUAACUCAGAACGGCCAAGUGAUACUGCAGUGCUAGAGUGCAGAAGGGGCAAUCGGAAUUCUUGGUGUAGCGGUGAAAUGCGUAGAUAUCAAGAGGAACACCUGAGGUGAAGACGGGUUGCUGGGCUGACACUGACGCUGAGGCGCGAAAGCCAGGGGAGCAAACGGGAUUAGAUACCCGCGUAGUCCCUGAGCGGGCUGGCAAGGCGCAU